rnacentral:rRNA from 1 species
UACGGAGGGGGCUAGCGUUGUUCGGAAUUACUGGGCGUAAAGCGCACGUAGGCGGCUUUGCAAGUUAGAGGUGAAAGCCCAGGGCUUAACCCUGGAAUUGCCUUUAAAACUGCAUCGCUAGAAUUGUGGAGAGGUGAGUGGAACUGCGAGUGUAGAGGUGAAAUUCGUAGAUAUUCGCAAGAACACCAGUGGCGAAGGCGGCUCACUGGCCCGGUACUGACGCUGAGGUGCGAAAGCGUGGGGAGCAAACAGG